rfam:[Eubacterium] angustum strain DSM 1989 ETAN_contig000003, whole genome shotgun sequence.
UGACAUGCGAUGAGACAAGAGGUUGCUUAAUAUACUAUUAAGGUAAUUUUUGUUGAGAAUGUCCGGCAGCAGAAUCGGGCGACAA